rnacentral:rRNA from 1 species
UACAGAGGUCUCGAGCGUUAGGCGGAAUCACUGGGCUUAAAGCGUGUGUAGGCGGAUCGGUAAGUACCUUGUGAAAUCCCACAGCUUAACUGUGGAACUGCUUGGUAUACUGCCAGUCUUGAGCCACUUAGGGGCUACCGGAACAAAUGGUGGAGCGGUGAAAUGCGUAGAUAUCAUUUGGAACGCCAAUGGUGAAAACAGGUAGCUGGGAGUGUGCUGACGCUGAGACACGAAGGCCAGGGGAGCAAACGGG